rnacentral:tRNA from 1 species
GCGGGUAUAGCUGAGGUGGCACAGCGCCUGCCUUCCAAGCAGGAGACCACGGGUUCGAGUCCCGUUGCCCGCU